CUCUACAUCCUCUCAGACAGUCAGUUUUAAUUCGGUCCCCGUGUUCAUCGGCAAAAUUUUCUAUUCGGCGUGUAAUUUUUUAUUUUAUUUCCAAAAACUUGGGUGCUAAUGACAAAAUCGAAGAGAAAAUUCGCGAUUACCGAUAAAUUUCUUCCCAGACUUGCUAAAAACCUGUGCACCCGAAAAGGCAGCCGUCGGGCUAAUACCGGAAACCGUCUGGAACACGCAGUGCUUACCCACAUUCAGCACGUACCGUAGACAAGCAGCCACAUUGGUCCUUCACCCAUCAUCCAUCAUCUCAUCUAACACGAUGGCCCGUGGAGACGAAUGCAAAAUAGCCACCAAGACUUCCUUUGUCAAACAAUUUGAAUUCCCCACAGCAAUGAAGAAACCAAUCGUUGAUAAACCGCAACCAAAAAAACAAGAGCAAAAGAACUACGGCGCUUGGGGCUCCACGUUUAAGGACAAGAAAACGUUCACGGACAUGCACUUCUGCUAAUUUUAUCAUCACUAUCGCUUACAGUUAAUCGUCAUUAAACCUCAUCUAGUUGUAAAGCUCCAACCAAAAUUAUUUGUAUCAGAUCGGCUAAUAAAUGUUGGAUAAGUGUU